rnacentral:lncRNA from 1 species
GCUUUUUUUAGGGCUGCACCUGCGGCACAUGGAGUUUCCCAGGCUAGGGGUCGAAUCAGAGCUAUAGCUGCCAGCCUACACCACAGCCACAGCAACGCCAGAUCCAAGCUGAAUCUGCAACCUACAGCACAGCUCACCGCAAGGCCAGAUCCUGAGCGAGGCCAGGAAUGGAACCCGAAACCUCACCAUUCCUAGUCAGAUUCAUUUCUGCUGGGCCACAACAGGAACUCCUAAGAUCAGAAUUUUCUAUUUUCAAAUUUUUUCUUUUUUUUUUAAUAGCUGCACCUAUGGAAUCUGGAAGUUCUCAGGCUAGGGGUUGAAUAGCUGCUGGCCUACCCAACAGCCACAAUACUGGAUCCAAGCCACAUCUAUAACUUACACUGCAGCUUGAGACAAUGUUGGAUCCUUAACCCACUGAGCAAGGUCAGGGAUUUGAACCCACAUAUUCACAGAGACAAUGUUGUGUCCUUAAACCCGCUGAGCCACAACAGGAACUUCCAGUCAUUCAAGUUUUACCUGCCCAAUUUUUUCCAUGUCCAUUUAUCGUUAUUUAUGUUUUUCUUUAAAUCAGCUUUUUAAAAAAAAAACUGUCCUAAGUGAAAACAUUCAUGAAUAAGAUUUGAAGACAUUUACAAUGUAUAAUUGACUCUCAGAAAAUAAAACUACGUGCUAUAUGCAAUUAUUUUUAUAUGUUGUGCACUUUAUGACUCUGGACUAGAAGAUCUCUGAAGUUCUUCCCAAACUAACAUUCUGAAAAUUUAGGUUAGUUCCUCAACUUCUGCAAUUUAGUUGUUCACUAAAGAACAACUUUAAGUGCCACAAUGCAUUUAACCGAAAACUUGUAACCAUAAAGAAGCAUUAAGAUCCAUGCCAUGAUAUUCCCCUUCUUAAAAACCCAAAAUAGACACACUGAAAUUGAUAAAUUCAGUAUACUGUUAGAUAGGAAUUUAUAAAACAUUUAGAGGAUACAGAAGUGAGUGAUGUGAUAAAUGGUAGGAAGGGAGUAAACUUUUUUUUUUUUUUGUCUUUUUGCCUUUUCUUGAGCUGCUCCCUUGGCAUACGGAGGUGCAGACCUGAAAAGGCCAAAAAACCAAAAAGACAAAAAUAAUUUACCCACCAGAAAAUUAUAUUUCUGUAUAAUUUUGAUAUGGUUCCGAUUAUUAAUCUCAGCUUACUCUAAAGAACAAGGACAAAAGUAUUUAUUAUUUCAACUGCAAUAUUUUUGGUAGUGGAUACUAUCUAGACAAGAUAUUAAAAACUAGAAACCUGAGUUUUUAUUCAAAACAUAUCUUUUAUUAAAAUUUUCAAUAAAUUGUUCAAUAUUUUUAGCAAGAAAAAAGAUUAUCCAGGUCAUAUUUGUUUGCCUAUUUAAAACUAAAAACAGGAGUUGCCUUGAGGUGCAGGCUGUUAAGGAUCCAGCAUUGUCACUGCAGCAGCUUGGGUCAUUGCUGUUGCGUGGUUCCAUCACUGGUCCAGCAACUUCCACAUGCCACAGGUAUGACCAAAAAAAAAGAACAAAAAAAGAAAAAUAAAGACAGAAAGAAGAAAGAAAAGAACAAAGAACUGAAAGUUACGAUAACAAAAAGUCCUCUUUUUGGCUACAUCUACUGCAUUCAGAAGUUCCAGGGGCAGGGAUCAAACCUGGGCCACAGCAGCAACCAGAACUGCAGCAGUGACAACCCUAGAGCUUUAAACCACUGAGCCAGAAGGAAACUCCAACAAGAAUUCCUUUUAAGUAUCUAAAUAAUCAUCCCUUUAACAGUAUGGGAAUAAGAUUAGUAGAUAAUACAAUAUUUCUAUUUAGCAAUGUGAGGAAAUUUUUUCUUCUUACAAUGAAGAAAUCAUUUUUCACAAAUGUGAUUUUUGGGUUUAGGUAGUACCAGUUUAAUAUCAAGAUUACUAAGGAAAAUGAAUAAGGAAUUUGUUGUGACACUUUAAUAUGAAAAAUCUUUAUACAGAGAAUUAUUUUUCAAAUCACCUAUGAAGCAGCCUCCAAGCAACUGACUGGCUACUAAAAUUUCUAGUGUUUUUUUUCUGGGGGGGGGCACACCCACGAUAUACAAAAGUUCCUGGGCCAGAGAUCAAACCUGAGCCACAGCAGUGAUACCAAAUUCUUAACCUCUAAGCCACCAGGGAACUCCCUAAAACUUAGUUUUUAAACUUACAAAUUGAGCACAUAAGUUCAUGUAAACAUGCAAAUUACAUGUGACAGCUUUGUGAAUUUAUAUUUUACACCAUAAAUCUACACGUUUCUUGGAGUUCUCUUGUAGCACAGUAGGUUAAGGAUUUGGCAUCAACACUGCAGUGGCUUGGGUCACUGCUGUGGUGCAGGUUUGAUCCCUGGCCCAGGGAACUUCCACAUGCCACAAGCACAGCCAAAAAACAUGUGCACAUUUAUUUCUCUUAGAUUUGAAUGUUGUCAUAAGAGAUUAAUUUAUGGAAAGCUAAACAAAUAUAAGGUAUAUUUGUCAAUCUAUAAACUCAAUGCCAUGAAUAAAAAUUAUUGUAGGGACCCUGUAUCUUAAGUCAUCAGAACUGAAAGCUACAGAACUCCUGUUAUGGCUCAGAGUAAUGAAUCUGACUAGUAUCCAUAAAGACUCGGGUUCAAUUCCUGGCCCUGCUCAGUGGGGUGCAGCCUUAAAAAGACAAAAAAACCCCAAAAAACAAAAAACAAAAAAACCUCUGAAAGUUACAAAGGAAUGUGUGUAUGUGUGUGUGUGUGUGUUUUCAAAAGUUCAUUUUUAACUUAAAAAGACGAGAUUGUGUUAAUUGUAGAGUAAACCUGACUAACCAAAUUUGCUACUCUGUUGGGAUUUCCAGUUUGUCUUAACCAUUUAUUUUCAGUUAAAUAAAUAGUAUUGAUUUUUUAAAGUCAAUCUGCUUCCCAAGAGGAUUGUGGCUAUUUGAUUUUUUUUUUUUUGUCUUUUUAGGGCUGCACCCAUAGCAUAUGGAAGUUCCCAGGCUAGGGGUAGAAUUGGAGCUGCAGCUGCUUGGCCUAUGUCACAGCCACAGCAACUUGGGAUCCUAACGCCUCUGCAACCUAUACCACAGCUCACAGCAAUGCCAGAUCCUUAACCCUCUGAGCGAGGCCAUGGAUCAAACCCAAGCCCUCAUGGAUACUAGUCUGGUUCACUACCGCUGAGCCAUGACACGAACUCCCUGGCUAUUUGAUUUUUAUUAGCUUUUUCAAAUUUAUGCCAUUUACAGUGCUUUUAAGUCAUCAAAAUUCCAUUGAAAAUUAAUCACAGUAGCUUGGGUAAUAUAUUAACUUGGUUGCAAAAGGCACUAAGACUGAUAAAACAAGAUUUAACUGCAUAGUGCCAGGAAUCAAGAAAAUUUGAAAAAUUUUUAAAUUAGGAAUAGCAUUAGUCUAUCGAAAAACAAAAAAUUGUAUAUGCUACAACUGCCAAUAAUUCAGCAAUCACCUAACCCUGUGAAACUGAGAAACUAGUUAAUAUGGGAUUAUACACAUUCAGAAAGGUGAUUUUAUUUUUUUAAAUUUUUAUUUAUUUAUUUAUUUUAUUUUAUUUUUUUGUCUUUUUUUUGCUAUUUCUUG